UUGCCGUGACUUGAGAAGCAAAAGAAAAGAAGAAAUCGGUUCUUCUUAGCUGAAAUGAAAAGAAGAAGAAAGGAAUGAAGCUAGAAAGGAGAGGGCAGCUGCAUGUAGUGGAAAACCAUGGAAUUUGUUUGCUUAGAAGUUAAAAUUUUCAAGUAGAAGGGUAACUCUUCUAAACUCUCCCUUGCCCAUAGCUUUUCGUUGACAAAUUCUGGUUGCAUUGUUGAUUUGAGCUUGACGAAUAUGUGGGAGAAGAGAAGAUUCUCUUUUCUAGUUGCAAAUGUUGCAUGUCUAGUAGAUGAAGAGUUUCUCACUUGUGUUAAAAGAAUCUAGUGAAUGCUUGUGUUGUUAUAAUCUAUUUUUGUAACUUUGGGGUUGAUUGUAUUUAGCUAACAAGGUAGGAGAAGGUGGUAGUAGACAAGGGAAAGAGCAAAUUGAAUAGGUGGAAUCGGUGUUGGGAACCUUGAUUUUGCUCGUUAGCUAUCGGAUUCGGGAUCAUUGAAGUCGAAGUCAUCCACACUAUCAAAGCCCCCAUUUUGGUACAAUUUUGGUUGAACUUUGAAAUGGCAUGUAUAGGACUACCCUUUUGUUGUAGGUUAUGUACCUUUCGGUUUUGUGUAAAUUCGGAUAGCCAUGCGAAAAUGGCUUAUAUACGUUUCUAGCAUAGUACUAUAAUCGUUUGUAUGUUGAUCAUUAUGAGGUAUGGAAUUGUUUUGAAACGAUUAGCCAUUGGAAUGGUUAAUCAUGAUCA